rnacentral:rRNA from 1 species
CUACGGGGGGCUCCAGGCGCGAAACCUCUACAAUGCACGCAAGUGUGAUAGGGAAACCCCUCGUGCUUAUCGAAAGAUAGGCUUUUGUUAUGUGUAAUGAGCAUAUCGAAUAAGUGAUGGGCAAGACUGGUGCCAGCAGCCGCGGUAAUACCAGCGUCACAAGUGGAGAUCGCUUUUAUUGGGUCUAAAGUGUCCGUAGCUGGUUUGAUCAGUUCUUUGUGAAAUUUCUUUGGCUUAACCAAGAAAUUGCAAGGAAUACUGUCAAACUUGAGACCGGGAGAGGUAAGAAGUAUUGUUUGGGUAGCGGUAAAAUGUUAUAAUCCUUACAAGACUAACUAAUGCGAAGGCAUCUUACUAGAACGGAUCUGACAGUGAGGGACGAAAGCUAGGGUAGCGAACCGGAUUAGAUACCCCUGUAGUC